rnacentral:rRNA from 1 species
AACGAACGCUGGCGGCAGGCUUAACACAUGCAAGUCGAACGCAUCCUUCGGGGUGAGUGGCAGACGGGUGAGUAACGCGUGGGAACGUGCCCUUCAGUUCGGGAUAACCCAGGGAAACUUGGGCUAAUACCGGAUACGUGCGAGAGCAGAAAGAUUUAUCGCUGAAGGAUCGGCCCGCGUCUGAUUAGCUAGUUGGUGGGGUAAUGGCCCACCAAGGCGACGAUCAGUAGCUGGUCUGAGAGGAUGAUCAGCCACAUUGGGACUGAGACACGGCCCAAACUCCUACGGGAAGCAUCAGUGGGGAAUAUUGGAGAAUGGGCGCAAGCCUGAUCCAGCCAUGCCGCGUGAGUGAUGAAGGCCUUAGUGUUGUAAAGCUCUUUCGUCCGGGACGAUAAUGACGGUACCGGAAGAAGAAGCCCCGGCUAACUUCGUGCCAGCCGCCGCCGUAA